rnacentral:rRNA from 1 species
AGCGGAAACGACACUAACAAUCCUUCGGGUGCGUUAAUGGGCGUCGAGCGGCGGACGGGUGAGUAAUGCCUAGGAAAUUGCCUUGAUGUGGGGGAUAACCAUUGGAAACGAUGGCUAAUACCGCAUGAUGCCUACGGGCCAAAGAGGGGGACCUUCGGGCCUCUCGCGUCAAGAUAUGCCUAGGUGGGAUUAGCUAGUUGGUGAGGUAAUGGCUCACCAAGGCGACGAUCCCUAGCUGGUCUGAGAGGAUGAUCAGCCACACUGGAACUGAGACACGGUCCAGACUCCUACGGGAGGCAGCAGUGGGGAAUAUUGCACAAUGGGCGAAAGCCUGAUGCAGCCAUGCCGCGUGUAUGAAGAAGGCCUUCGGGUUGUAAAGUACUUUCAGUUGUGAGGAAGGGUGUGUAGUUAAUAGCUGCGCAUCUUGACGUUAGCAACAGAAGAAGCACCGGCUAACUCCGUGCCAGCAGCCGCGGUAAUACGGAGGGUGCGAGCGUUAAUCGGAAUUACUGGGCGUAAAGCGCAUGCAGGUGGUUCAUUAAGUCAGAUGUGAAAGCCCGGGGCUCAACCUCGGAACUGCAUUUGAAACUGGUGAACUAGAGUGCUGUAGAGGGGGUAGAAUUUCAGGUGUAGCGGUGAAAUGCGUAGAGAUCUGAAGGAAUACCAGUGGCGAAGGCGGCCCCCUGGACAGACCUGACACUCAGAUGCGAAAGCCUGGGGAGCAAACAGGAU